rnacentral:rRNA from 1 species
AACGAACGCUGGCGGCAGGCUUAACACAUGCAAGUCGAACGCCCCGCAAGGGGAGUGGCAGACGGGUGAGUAACGCGUGGGAACAUACCCUUUUCUACGGAAUAGCUCUGGGAAACUGGAAUUAAUACCGUAUACGCCCUACGGGGGAAAGAUUUAUCGGGGAAGGAUUGGCCCGCGUUGGAUUAGCUAGUUGGUGGGGUAAAGGCCUACCAAGGCGACGAUCCAUAGCUGGUCUGAGAGGAGGAUCAGCCACAUUGUGACUAAGACACGGCCCAAACUCCGACGGGAGGCCGCAGUGGGGAAGAUUGGACAAUGGGCGCAAGCCUGAUCCAGCCAUGCCGCGUGAGUGAUGAAGGCCUUAGGGUUGUAAAGCUCUUUCACCGAUGAAGAUAAUGACGGUAGUCGGAGAAGAAGCCCCGGCUAACUUCGUGCCAGCCGCCGCCGUAACAC